rnacentral:rRNA from 1 species
GACGAACGCUGGCGGCGUGCUUAACACAUGCAAGUCGAACGGAAAGGCCUGCUUUCCCUUGUGGAUUGCGGGUACUCGAGUGGCGAACGGGUGAGUAACACGUGAGUGAUCUGCCCCCAACUUGGGUAUAAGCCUGGGAAACUGGGUCUAAUUCCCGAUAGGACUGCAGGGUGGUGCCUGUGGUGGAAAAUGAUUUUCUAGUGGUUGGGGAUGAGCUCGCGGCCUAUCAGCUUGUUGGUGGGGUAAUGGCCUACCAAGGCGGCGACGGGUAGCCGGCCUGAGAGGGUGGACGGCCACAUUGGGACAGGGAUACGGCCCCGACGCCUACGGGAGGCAGGAGUGGGGAAUAUUGCACAAGGGGCGGAAGCCUGAUGCAGCGACGCCGCGUGGGGGAUGACGGCCUUCGGGUUGUAAACUCCUUUCGACCGCGAGGAAGCCACCUGGUUGGAAGGGUGGUGACGGUAGUGGUAGAAGAAGCACCGGCUAACUACGUG